rnacentral:rRNA from 1 species
AUACGGAGGGUGCAAGCGUUAAUCGGAAUUACUGGGCGUAAAGCGCGCGUAGGCGGCUUGGUCAGUUGGGGGUGAAAUCCCAGGGCUUAACCCUGGAACUGCCCUCAAUACUGCCAGUCUUGAGUUCGAGAGAGGUAAGUGGAAUUCCUAGUGUAGAGGUGAAAUUCGUAGAUAUUAGGAAGAACACCAGUGGCGAAGGCGGCUUACUGGCUCGAUACUGACGCUGAGGCGCGAAAGCGAGGGGAGCAAACAGGAUUAGAAACCCCAGUAGUCC